rnacentral:rRNA from 1 species
CUACGGGUCGCUGCAGUGGGGAAUAUUGGACAAUGGGGGAAACCCUGAUCCAGCAAUGCCGCGUGUGUGAAGAAGGCCUGCGGGUUGUAAAGCACUUUCGGUUGGGAGGACUGCUUCUAGCACUAAUAUUGUUGGAAGUUGACGUUACCUUCAGAAGAAGCACCGGCUAACUCCGUGCCAGCAGCCGGGGUAAUACGGAGGGUGCAAGCGUUAAUCGGAAUUACUGGGCGUAAAGCGCGCGUAGGCGGCUAGAUCAGUCGGGUGUGAAAGCCCCGGGCUUAACCUGGGAACUGCAUCCGAAACUGUCUAGCUUGAGUACAGGAGAGGAGAGUGGAAUUCCACAUGUAGCGGUGAAAUGCGUAGAUAUGUGGAGGAACACCAAUGGCGAAGGCAGCUCUCUGGCCUGAUACUGACGCUGAGGUGCGAAAGCGUGGGGAGCAAACAGGAUUAGAUACCCGCGUAGUC